rnacentral:rRNA from 1 species
GCUUGUUGGUGAGGUAAUGGCUCACCAAGGCGACGACGGGUAGCCGGCCUGAGAGGGCGACCGGCCACACUGGGACUGAGACACGGCCCAGACUCCUACGGGAGGCAGCAGUGGGGAAUAUUGCACAAUGGGCGAAAGCCUGAUGCAGCGACGCCGCGUGAGGGAUGACGGCCUUCGGGUUGUAAACCUCUUUCAGCAGGGAAGAAGCGAAAGUGACGGUACCUGCAGAAGAAGCGCCGGCUAACUACGCGCCAGCAGCCGCGGUAAUACGUAGGGCGCAAGCGUUGUCCGGAAUUAUUGGGCGUAAAGAGCUCGUAGGCGGUCUGUCGCGCCGGAUGUGAAAGCCCGGGGCUUAACCCCGGGUCUGCAUUCGAUACGGGCAGACUAGAGUGUGGUAGGGGAGAUCGGAAUUCCUGGUGUAGCGGUGAAAUGCGCAGAUAUCAGGAGGAACACCGGUGGCGAAGGCGGAUCUCUGGGCCAUUACUGACGCUGAGGAGCGAAAGCGUGGGGAGCGAACAGGAUUAGAUACCCUGGUAGUCCACGCCGUAAACGGUGGGAACUAGGUGUUGGCGACAUUCCACGUCGUCGGUGCCGCAGCUAACGCAUUAAGUUCCCCGCCUGGGGAGUACGG